AUUGAACGCUGGCGGCAUGCCUUACACAUGCAAGUCGAACGGCAGCACGGGAGCAAUCCUGGUGGCGAGUGGCGAACGGGUGAGUAAUAUAUCGGAACGUGCCCAGUCGUGGGGAUAACGUAGCGAAAGCUACGCUAAUACCGCAUACGAUCUAUGGAUGAAAGCGGGGGAUCGCAUGACCUCGCGCGAUUGGAGCGGCCGAUAUCAGAUUAGGUAGUUGGUGAGGUAAAGGCUCACCAAGCCGACGAUCUGUAGCUGGUCUGAGAGGAGGACCAGCCACACUGGGACUGAGACACGGCCCAGAC
rnacentral:rRNA from 1 species